rnacentral:rRNA from 1 species
UACAAAGGGGGCUAGCGUUGCUCGGAAUCACUGGGCGUAAAGGGUGCGUAGGCGGGUUUUUAAGUCAGAGGUGAAAUCCUGGAGCUCAACUCCAGAACUGCCUUUGAUACUGAAAGUCUUGAGUAUGGGAGAGGUGAGUGGAACUGCGAGUGUAGAGGUGAAAUUCGUAGAUAUUCGCAAGAACACCAGUGGCGAAGGCGGCUUACUGGUCCGGUUCUGACGCUGAGGCGCGAAAGCGUGGGGGAGCAAACAGGG